ACGAACGCUGGCGGCGUGCUUAACACCUGCAAGUCGAACGGUGAAGCGCCUUCCUUUUUGGUGGGUGUGGAUGAGUGGCGAACGGGUGAGUAACACGUGAGUAACCUGCCCCCUUCUUCUGGAUAACCGCAUGAAAGUGUGGCUAAUACGGGAUAUUCUGGGUCUGUCGCAUGAUGGGUCUGGGAAAGAUAUUGUUUCGGUGGGGGAUGGGCUCGCGGCCUAUCAGCUUGUUGGUGGGGUGAUGGCCUACCAAGGCGGUGACGGGUAGCCGGCCUGAGAGGGUGGACGGUCACACUGGGACUGAGACACGGCACAGACUCCUACGGGAGGCAGCAGUGGGGAAUAGUGCACAAUGGGCGCAAGCCUGAUGCAGCGACGCCGCGUGAGGGAUGGAGGCCUUCGGGUUGUGAACCUCUUUCGCCAGUGAAGCAGGCCUGCCUCGUUUGUGGGUGGGUUGACGGUAGCUGGAUAAGAAGCGCCGGCUAACUACGUG
rnacentral:rRNA from 1 species